rnacentral:rRNA from 1 species
CGCGAAUGGCUCAUUACAACAGCCGUUGUUUCUUGGAUCUUGUUUUACUUGGAUAACUGUGGUAAUUCUAGAGCUAAUACAUGCUAAAAAGCUCUAACCUUACGGAAGGAGCGCAUUUAUUAGACCAAGACCAAACAGGCUUUGCCUGGAAUCUGGUGACUCUGAAUAACUUUGCUGAUCACAUGGUCUAGCACCGGUGACAUUUCUUUCAAGUGUCUGCCCUAUCAACUUUCGAUGGUAGCUUAUGCGCCUACCAUGGUGGUAACGGGUAACGGAGAAUAAGGGUUCGACUCCGGAGAGGGAGCCUGAGAAAUGGCUACCACAUCCAAGGAAGGCAGCAGGC